AGAGAAGAGAAGAGAAGAGAAGAGAAGAGAAGAGAAGAGAGAAAAGACUGGUCUGGGAGGACCUCAUUUGGAUGGAAAGAGGAAAUAUUCUCCCUCAGAUAGAAUGAGGGCAAAUCUACUCAUCUUCAGCAGCUCGAUACACAAGCCCCAGUUACGUCAAAGCAAAGCCUGGGGCUGUGGAGAUGAGAGCAGUGAAGGAGCAGCUACAUGGUACUUAGUGUGUCUGGGGUUAAACCACAACAGACUAUGAAUAAUUCACCCUAAUGUUGCCAGCCCAGAUCCACCUGAGCCACCUCAACCUUAGCAGCUUGAUCCACCUUCUGGAUCUUUAAUUCUUCAGUAUCCUGGGUUAAUGCACCCACAAUGG